UACAGAGGGUGCGAGCGUUAAUCGGAAUUACUGGGCGUAAAGCGCACGUAGGCGGCUUGGUAUGUCGGGUGUGAAAUCCCCGGGCUCAACCUGGGAACUGCAUCCGAAACUGCCUUGCUCGAGUAUGGGAGAGGGAAGUGGAAUUCCUGGUGUAGCGGUGAAAUGCGCAGAUAUCAGGAGGAACACCGGUGGCGAAGGCGGGUCUCUGGGCCGAUACUGACGCUGAGGAGCGAAAGCGUGGGGAGCGAACAGG
rnacentral:rRNA from 1 species